AACGAACGCUGGCGGCGCGCCUAAUACAUGCAAGUCGAGCGAGAAGACGUAGCAAUACGUUUGUAAAGCGGCGAACGGGUGAGGAAUACAUGGGUAACCUACCCUCGAGUGGGGAAUAACUAGCCGAAAGGUUAGCUAAUACCGCGUACGCUCCUUGGACUUCGGUUCAGGGAGGAAAGCGAUACCGUGGGUAUCGCGCUCUUGGAUGGGCUCAUGUCCUAUCAGCUUGUUGGGAGGUAACGGCUCACCAAGGCUUCGACGGGUAGCUGGUCUGAGAGGACGAUCAGCCACACUGGCACUGCGACACGGGCCAGACUCCUACGGGAGGCAGCAGUAAGGAAUAUUGCGCAAUGGGCGAAAGCCUGACGCAGCGACGCCGCGUGGGGGAGUGAAGGUCUUCGGAUUGUAACCCCUUUCGGGAGGGAAGAUGGAACGAGCAAUCGUUCGG
rnacentral:rRNA from 1 species